rnacentral:rRNA from 1 species
GACGAACGCUGGCGGCGUGCUUAACACAUGCAAGUCGAGCGGUAAGGCCCUUUCGGGGGUACACGAGCGGCGAACGGGUGAGUAACACGUGGGUGACCUGCCCUCAGCUCUGGGAUAAGCCCGGGAAACUGGGUCUAAUACUGGAUAUGACUCCACGGUGCAUGCCGUGGGGUGGAAAGCCUUGUGCGGCUGAGGAUGGGCCCGCGGCCUAUCAGCUUGUUGGUGGGGUGAUGGCCUACCAAGGCGACGACGGGUAGCCGGCCUGAGAGGGCGACCGGCCACACUGGGACUGAGACACGGCCCAGACUCCUACGGGAGGCAGCAGUGGGGAAGUCUUGCGCAAUGGGCGAAAGCCUGACGCAGCGACGCCGCGUGAGGGAUGACGGCC